rnacentral:rRNA from 1 species
GAAUAUUGGACAAUGGGCGCAAGCCUGAUCCAGCCAUGCCGCGUGAGUGAUGAAGGCCUUAGGGUUGUAAAGCUCUUUUAGCGGGGACGAUAAUGACGGUACCCGCAGAAAAAGCCCCGGCCAACUUCGUGCCAGCAGCCGCGGUAAUACGAAGGGGGCUAGCGUUGCUCGGAAUCACUGGGCGUAAAGCGCACGUAGGUGGGUCGUUAAGUCGGGGGUGAAAUCCCAGGGCUCAACCCUGGAACUGCCUUCGAUACUGGCGAUCUUCGAGUCCGGGAGAGGUGAGUGGAACUGCGAGUGUAGAGGUGAAAUUCGUAGAUAUUCGCAAGAACACCAGUGGCGAAGGCGGCUCACUGGCCCGGUACUGACACUGAGGUGCGAAAGCGUGGGGAGCAAACAGG